UGCAUUCGUGGACACAAUACACUCAAUUCACCGGGGAAACAGUUGAAAUGGUUCUUGCUGAUACAGCUGGUACUUUGAUUCAUGCUACUGUUAAGAAGCCACAAGUGAGCAAACUGCAAAGGUUCAUAGUUUCUGGAGAAUGGCGUAUUAUCGAGCAUUUUACGCUAACCAAAUCAACAGGAAAGUAUCGAGCCACAAAACAUGGUUUCAAGAUGUCCAUGAUGGAAAAAACUGUGAUAAGUCGCACUCCUGCUGUUUCUGAUGACAUUUAUGUGGAUCUGGCAAACUUUCCAGAUAUUUUGAAUGAAGCAGGAUUGAGUGAAAACAUCUUAAUUGAUGUACUUGGACAGGUAGUUAGUUUCAAUGAAAUGAAAAUUCAUGAUGUUAACAACAAGAUCACAAAGAGACUUGAGUGUGAACUCAGAGACACAAAGUAAGUUUAAUCAUGAAUCUACCUUUUCUAUAUAAUCUUACAUACAUCUAAACUUAAAACUUUCUCAAUAUUUUUGUUGUAUUGUAGUGAUGAAAGGCUGAAAUGCACUCUUUGGGGGAGAUUUGCUGAGGCAAUGUAUAAUGCAUGUCAAAAUGCAGGGACUGAGAGAGUGAUUUGCUUGCUUCGGCUUGCAAAGAUCAACUCAUUUAAAGGUGAAAGAGCUGUUUCAAAUUCAUUUGAUAUGUCUCUAUUGGAAAUCAAUGCUACCUACCCUGCUGUUCUUGAGUUUGUGGCCAAUUUACCACCUGAUGUUAUUCCACUGACUAUCGAAGACUCGAAGACAAAACAAGUGAAUGCAGAACAGA